GGUCUUAGCUUGCUAAGGCUGAUGGCGACCGGCGCACGGGUGAGUAACACGUAUCCAACCUGCCGUCUACUCUUGGCCAGCCUUCUGAAAGGAAGAUUAAUCCAGGAUGGCAUCAUGAGUUCACAUGUCCGCAUGAUUAAAGGUAUUUUCCGGUAGACGAUGGGGAUGCGUUCCAUUAGAUAGUAGGCGGGGUAACGGCCCACCUAGUCAACGAUGGAUAGGGGUUCUGAGAGGAAGGUCCCCCACAUUGGAACUGAGACACGGUCCAAACUCCUACGGGAGGCAGCAGUGAGGAAUAUUGGUCAAUGGGCGAUGGCCUGAACCAGCCAAGUAGCGUGAAGGAUGACUGCCCUAUGGGUUGUAAACUUCUUUUAUAAAGGAAUAAAGUCGGGUAUGCAUACCCGUUUGCAUGUACUUUAUGAAUAAGGAUCGGCUAACUCCGUGCCAGCAGCCGCGGUAAUACGGAGGAUCCGAGCGUUAUCCGGAUUUAUUGGGUUUAAAGGGAGCGUAGAUGGAUGUUUAAGUCAGUUGUGAAAGUUUGCGGCUCAACCGUAAAAUUGCAGUUGAUACUGGAUGUCUUGAGUGCAGUUGAGGCAGGCGGAAUUCGUGGUGUAGCGGUGAAAUGCUUAGAUAUCACGAAGAACUCCGAUUGCGAAGGCAGCCUGCUAAGCUGCA
rnacentral:rRNA from 1 species